rnacentral:rRNA from 1 species
GAUGAACGCUGGCGGCGUGCCUAAUACAUGCAAGUCGAGCGAACAGAUGAGGAGCUUGCUCCUCUGACGUUAGCGGCGGACGGGUGAGUAACACGUCGAUAACCUACCUAUAAGACUGGGAUAACUUCGGGAAACCGGAGCUAAUACCGGAUAAUAUAUUGAACCGCAUGGUUCAAUAGUGAAAGACGGUUUUGCUGUCACUUAUAGAUGGAUCCGCGCCGCAUUAGCUAGUUGGUAAGGUAACGGCUUACCAAGGCAACGAUGCGUAGCCGACCUGAGAGGGUGAUCGGCCACACUGGAACUGAGACACGGUCCAGACUCCUACGGGAGGCAGCAGUAGGGAAUCUUCCGCAAUGGGCGAAAGCCUGACGGAGCAACGCCGCGUGAGUGAUGAAGAUCUUCGGAUCGUAAAACUCUGUUAUUAGGGAAGAACAAAUGUGUAAGUAACUAUGCACGUCUUGACGGUACCUAAUCAGAAAGCCACGGCUAACUACGUG